rnacentral:rRNA from 1 species
AACCAGACUCCUACGGGAGGCAGCAGUCGGGAAUAUUGCACAAUGGAGGAAACUCUGAUGCAGUGACACCGCGUAUAGGAAGAAGGUUUUCGGAUUGUAAACUAUUUUAGACAGGGAAGAAAAAAGACAGUACCUGUAGAAUAAGCUCCGGCUAACUACGUGCCAGCAGCCGCGGUAAUACGUAGGGGGCGAGCGUUAUCCGGAUUCACUGGGUGUAAAGGGAGCGUAGACGGCCAUGCAAGCCAGGGGUGAAAGCCCGGGGCCCAACCCCGGGACUGCCCUUGGAACUGCAUGGCUGGAGUGCGGGAGGGGCAGGCGGAAUUCCUGGUGUAGCGGUGAAAUGCGUAGAUAUCAGGAGGAACACCGGCGGCGAAGGCGGCCUGCUGGACCGUGACUGACGUUGAGGCUCGAGAGCGUGGGGAGCAAACAGGAUUAGAUACCCCCGUAAU